rnacentral:rRNA from 1 species
GGUAGUUUUAAUUUAAUCUAUUAUGUGGAUGACUUGGCUUGUGUAGCGAUGAAGGGCGUGGUAAGCUGCGAUAAUCUUGAGGUAGGAGCAUACUUCCUUUGAACUCAAGGUUCCCGAAUUGGACUUCCUAAUUAUUCGCUUGUCGAAGGCGUUACCUGAGGAACUGAAACAUCUUAGUACUCGGAGGAAAAGAAAUCAAAUGAGAUUCUGUGAUUAAGGGCGACUGAAAGCAGAGGAGAUCAAACUGAAUCGGCUGCAGUAAUGUAGUUGAGAUGUGGUGUUGGAGCUCCUUUUAGUCCAAGGAAUUGUUCAAAAUCAAACUGGAAAGUUUAACCUUAGAGGGUGAUAGUCCCGUAUGAAUAAGUUCUCUUGGCUUUUGGAGAUUUCCAGAGUAGUGUCUAUUGGAAAUUAGGCAUGAAUGUGGGGGGCACUAACCCCCAAAUCUAAAUAUAACACAAGACCGAUAGUGAACAGUACCGUGAGGGAAUGUUGAAAAGUAGCCUUAAUAGGCUGUGAAAAGAUCUGAAACAUAAUAGAGAUAGGAUGGUGCGGCCUUCACAGGGUUGCACCGUACGUUCUGAAUAACGGGCCAGGGAGUUUUUUUAUAUGGCGAGACGAAAGUCGAAGGGAAACCGAGUUGCCGCAAAUUUUGAGGGCAUGGGUGUUAACUGCGCCUUAGUCAUAUGAAAAUUACCCGAAACGUGUUGAUCUAUACCUGAGCAGGUUGAAGCGGUAGUAAGAUAUCGUGGAGGACCGAAGCAAUGCAGCGUCUAUUUGUUUGCGUGACUUGGGUAUAGGGGUGAAAAGCCAAUCGAAACACGUGAUAGCUGGUUCCAGUCAAAAUUGGCCUUAGUCAAGCCUCGAUGGAGAAUGUUGUUGGGGUAGAGAUACUGAUAAAUGCUUUGGGGGACUACGGUCCCUCUUACAUUUGUCAAACUCCAAAUUCAAUAACUUUGUAGAUGUCGGGAAACGGGUGUGCGUGGGGUAAGCUUGCACACCGCGAGGGGAACAACCCAGACUAUAGUUAAGGCCCUUAAAUGUGAUUUAAGUGAUAAAGGGUAAAGGGUGUAAGUAUUCGAAGACAAAGAGGAGGUUCGCUUAGAAGCAGCUAUCCCUUAAAGAAUGCGUAACAGCUCACUCUUCGAGAGUAUUUGCCCCGAAAAUAAUCGGGUCUAAAAUCACUGCCGAUACUAUAGUUCAGCGACACGGUCGCUGUAAGUUAGACUGGUGCUGUGCAAGGGUAGAAGCGAGCUUGUGAGAGCUUGUGGACCUUGUAGAGAUAAGAAUCCUGGUGGUAGUAGGAAACUAGCGAUGUGAGAGUCAUCGCGGACGAAAGGGCAAGGGUUUCUUCUCAAUGUAAAUCAGAGAAGAGUUAGUCAUUCCUAAUUUUCAUCCUAAUUGGACCGAAAAGAAAGGGAAACUGGUUAAUAUUCCAGUACUAUUUAGAUAGAUAUGGCAACACAACUAUUGUUUUGGACGUUUCUGGCUAUUUGCAGCUAAGCAUGCUUAGUUUAAAAGUUUACAUGACAACGGAGUGUGGUAAUCACGAGAAGUUGUUUAAAGCUUUAUGAAUAAUUUGCGAUGAUGCCAGGGACCCUUGAAAACAAAAUGAUAGCGAUUCUAAAUAAGUGUACCCACAACCGGCACAGGUGCCCCUAGGUGAGAAACCUAAGUCCUGAAAGGAUAAUCUAUGUAAGGGAAUUCGGCAAAUUAGCCACAAAUCUUCGGUAUAUGUGGUCCCUAAAAUACAAUGUUAAUGCAAAGUAACUUUAGGGUGCAAUAACAAAGACGGUCCGACUGUUUAAUUAAAACAUAGGGAACUGCUAGUCAGUAAUGAUGCGUAUAGUUCCUGAAGUCUGCCCACUGCCAGUAACUAAAACCCUCCUUCAAGGGGGCCAAGGUCUGGUAAAGGGCGGGGAUAACUAUGAUCCUCUUAAGGUAGCGAAAUGCCUUGCCGUUUAAAUGACGGCUUGCAUGAAUGGCGUAACGAGAUUGUCACUGUCCCUACAUAGAACCUUCUGAAUACACUUUCCCGGUGCAAAAGCCGGGGACUUCAAGUGGGAAGUAAAGACCCCGUUGAACUUUACUGCAGCCUGCUAUUGUGGUCAAUUCUAUAAUGUAACAAGGAGCUUCGGCGCCAUGUAAAACUUGUUGUUAUGGAGUUGGCUGCUUAUCUCUAUAUGAGAAACAGUAGUUGGUGGGCAGUUUGGCUGGGGUGGCACCCUGCUGAAAUGGUAUCAGCAGGGCCCAAAGGUCAGCUCAAUUGGUUUAGAAAUCCAAUGUAGAAUGUAAGGGUAAAAGCUGGCUUUAUUCUGAUUCCCAAUAUACGAAUCGGAAUUUGGAAACAAUGGCCUAACGAUCUCCAAUGUGCUCCUUAGUGGGGCCUUGGAUUGACAGAAAAGUUACCACGGGGAUAACAGAGUUGUCGCUCCUGAGAGUUCAUAUCGACGGAGCGGUUUGCUACAUCGAUGUCGGCUCAUCCUAACCUGGUAGUGCAGCAGCUACCAAAGGUGGGG